rnacentral:lncRNA from 1 species
GAUGAAUGAGACACAAAAAACGAGAGAUAGCAGAGUACAACUUGUGCAGCACAAGGCAAGUUCUGAAAAACUGAACAUUCAUUUGCCAUAUAACAACUGCAACAGAUGAAUGAAUAGAGUCAAAGAUAUUCCUUUUUCCCUAAACAAAACUAAAAUAUGGUCACAAAGGUGUUACAAUCAUGUUAUUUUUCUUUCAAACUAAAAAUAUAUAAAAAUUCAAAGAUCUCAACCUUCCAAUUCUCUGCUUUGUCAACACACCAAAAAAAUGGGUUGUCUAUAAUUCAUGUACUCGAACAACUCUCCCUUCAAUGUAUUCAAUAUAUUUUUGUCAAACUUUAACCAUCAUUUUCGUCGCUUUCAAACAAUAAUAUUAUUUUCUUUUCUUCUCUUAAAACCUUACCAGC